rnacentral:rRNA from 1 species
GACGAACGCUGGCGGCGUGCUUAACACAUGCAAGUCGAACGAUGAAGCCUAGCUUGCUAGGUGGAUUAGUGGCGAACGGGUGAGUAAUACGUGAGUAACCUACCUUUAACUCUGGGAUAAGCCUGGGAAACUGGGUCUAAUACCGGAUACGACCAAUCUCCGCAUGGGGUGUUGGUGGAAAGCGUUAUGUAGUGGUUAUAGAUGGGCUCACGGCCUAUCAGCUUGUUGGUGAGGUAACGGCUCACCAAGGCGACGACGGGUAGCCGGCCUGAGAGGGUGACCGGCCACACUGGGACUGAGACACGGCCCAGACUCCUACGGGAGGCAGCAGUGGGGAAUAUUGCACAAUGGGCGCAAGCCUGAUGCAGCGACGCCGCGUGAGGGAUGACGGCCUUCGGGUUGUAAACCUCUGUUAGCAGGGAAGAAGAGAGAUUGACGGUACCUGCAGAGAAAGCGCCGGCUAACUACGUGCCAGCAGCCGCGGUAAUACGUAGGGCGCGAGCGUUGUCCGGAAUUAUUGGGCGUAAAGAGCUUGUAGGCGGUUUGUCGCGUCUGCUGUGAAAGGCCGGGGCUUAACUCCGUGUAUUGCAGUGGGUACGGGCAGACUAGAGUGCAGUAGGGACACUGGAAUUCCUGGUGUAGCGGUGGAAUGCGCAGAUAUCAGGAGGAACACCGAUGGCGAAGGCAGGUCUCUGGGCUGUAACUGACGCUGAGAAGCGAAAGCAUGGGGAGCGAACAGGAUUAGAUACCCUGGUAGUCCAUGCCGUAAACGUUGGGCACUAGGUGUGGGGGACAUUCCACGUUUUCCGCGCCGUAGCUAACGCAUUAAGUGCCCCGCCUGGGGAGUACGGCCGCAAGGCUAAAACUCAAAGAAAUUGACGGGGGCCCGCACAAGCGGCGGAGCAUGCGGAUUAAUUCGAUGCAACGCGAAGAACCUUACCAAGGCUUGACAUAUAUUGGACCGCAUCAGAGAUGGUGUUUCCCUUCGGGGCUGGUAUACAGGUGGUGCAUGGUUGUCGUCAGCUCGUGUCGUGAGAUGUUGGGUUAAGUCCCGCAACGAGCGCAACCCUCGUUCUAUGUUGCCAGCACGUUAUGGUGGGGACUCAUAGGAGACUGCCGGGGUCAACUCGGAGGAAGGUGGGGAUGACGUCAAAUCAUCAUGCCCCUUAUGUCUUGGGCUUCACGCAUGCUACAAUGGCCGGUACAGAGGGUUGCGAUACUGUGAGGUGGAGCUAAUCCCUAAAAGCCGGUCUCAGUUCGGAUUGGGGUCUGCAACUCGACCCCAUGAAGUCGGAGUCGCUAGUAAUCGCAGAUCAGCAACGCUGCGGUGAAUACGUUCCCGGGCCU